CACGCUGCUACUCAAUGGGAACAAUGCUCCUUUUUGUGAUCUGCUUGGAGGGUGAGCAUCUUCGUGAUGACAUCCUGUCCACUAUUGUACACUACAUAUUUAGUGUACAUAGUGUAGAGGUGGAUGAGCAAGACGAAACUACCAACAACCUGACACUACUGCACUGGUGUGCAUUGCGUGGAAAUGAUCGACUAGCAAAUAUACUCAUCGCACGAGGAGCUGAU